rnacentral:rRNA from 1 species
CCGACUGUAUGCCUCAGUACGGCGAGUGAAGCGGCAAAAGCUCAAAUUUGAAAUCCCCCGGGAAUUGUAAUUUGAAGAGAUUUGGGUCCGGCCGGCGGGGGUUAAGUCCACUGGAAAGUGGCGCCACAGAGGGUGACAGCCCCGUGAACCCCUUCAAAGCCCUCAUCCCAGAUCUCCAAGAGUCGAGUUGUUUGGGAAUGCAGCUCUAAGUGGGUGGUAAAUUCCAUCUAAAGCUAAAUACCGGCGAGAGACCGAUAGCGAACAAGUACAGUGAUGGAAAGAUGAAAAGCACUUUGAAAAGAGAGUGAAAAAGUACGUGAAAUUGUUGAAAGGGAAGGGCUUGCAAGCAGACACUUAACUGGGCCAGCAUCGGGGCGGCGGGGAGCAAAACCACCGGGGAAUGUACCUUUCGAGGAUUAUAACCCCGGUCCUUACUCCCUCGCCAUCCCGAGGCCUGCAAUCUAAGGAUGCUGGCGUAAUGGUUGCAAGUCGCCCGUCUAAAAACCACGGGACCAAUC